UACGUAGGGGGCUAGCGUUGUCCGGAAUCAUUGGGCGUAAAGAGCGCGUAGGCGGCCAGAUAAGUCUGCUGUGAAAGUCCAGGGCUCAACCCUGGAAGGCCGGUGGAAACUGUCGGGCUAGAGUCCGGAAGAGGCGAGUGGAAUUCCCGGUGUAGCGGUGAAAUGCGCAGAUAUCGGGAGGAACACCAAUGGCGAAGGCAGCUCGCUGGGACGGUACUGACGCUGAGACGCGAAAGCGUGGGGAGCAAACAGG
rnacentral:rRNA from 1 species